AGCUUUGCAUUGUGGCAAUACCAUAGCCAAUGAGGUUUAUCAAAGGCAUGAUUACUGCUAAUUAAAAAAGAAAAAAAGUACUAUCCAGUCAUUCAGUGGUUUAAAACCACUAGAAUUGUCAGCAAAAAUAUG
rnacentral:snRNA from 1 species